rnacentral:rRNA from 1 species
AGCUUGCUGGGCGGAUUAGUGGCGAACGGGUGAGUAAUACGUGAGUAACCUGCCCUUGACUCUGGGAUAAGCCUGGGAAACUGGGUCUAAUACUGGAUACUACCUUUCAUCGCAUGGUGGGGGGUGGAAAGGGUUUUACUGGUUUUGGAUGGGCUCACGGCCUAUCAGCUUGUUGGUGGGGUAAUGGCUCACCAAGGCGACGACGGGUAGCCGGCCUGAGAGGGUGACCGGCCACACUGGGACUGAGACACGGCCCAGACUCCUACGGGAGGCAGCAGUGGGGAAUAUUGCACAAUGGGCGAAAGCCUGAUGCAGCGACGCCGCGUGAGGGAUGACGGCCUUCGGGUUGUAAACCUCUUUCAGUAGGGAAGAAGCGAAAGUGACGGUACCUGCAGAAGAAGCGCCGGCUAACUACGUGCCAGCAGCCGCGGUAAUACGUAGGGCGCAAGCGUUGUCCGGAAUUAUUGGGCGUAAAGAGCUCGUAGGCGGUUUGUCGCGUCUGCUGUGAAAGCCCGGGGCUCAACCCCGGGUCUGCAGUGGGUACGGGCAGACUAGAGUGCAGUAGGGGAGACUGGAAUUCCUGGUGUAGCGGUGAAAUGCGCAGAUAUCAGGAGGAACACCGAUGGCGAAGGCAGGUCUCUGGGCUGUUACUGACGCUGAGGAG